UACGUAGGGUGCAAGCGUUAAUCGGAAUUACUGGGCGUAAAGCGUGCGCAGGCGGUUUUGUAAGUCUGUCGUGAAAGCCCCGGGCUCAACCUGGGAAUUGCGAUGAAGACUGCAAGGCUUGAAUCUGGCAGAGUGGGGUAGAAUUCCACGUGUAGCAGUGAAAUGCGUAGAGAUGUGGAGGAACACCGAUGGCGAAGGCAG
rnacentral:rRNA from 1 species